GAUCCUGGCUUAGAGCGAACGCUGGCGGCAGGCCUAACACAUGCAAGUCGAGCGGACGUAGCAAUACGUCAGCGGCAGACGGGAGAGUAACACGUGGGAACGCGCCCUUCGGUUCGGAAUAACUCAGGGAAACUUGGGCUAAUACCGAAUACGCCCUUACGGGAAAAGAUUUAUUGCCGAAGGAACGGCCCGCGUCCGAUUAGCUUGUUGGUGAGGUAACGGCUCACCAAGGCGACGAUCGGUAGCUGGUCUGAGAGGAUGACCAGCCUCACUGGGACUGAGACACGGCCCAGACUCCUACGGGAGGCAGCAGGUGGGGAAUAUUGGACAAUGGGCGCAAGCCCUGAUCCAGCCAUGCCGCGGUGGGUGAUGGAACGGCCCGUAGGGUUAGUAAACGUCCCUUUCGGCGGGGAAGAUAAUGACGGUACCCGCAGAAGAAGCCCCGGCUAACUUCGUGCCAGCCGCCGC
rnacentral:rRNA from 1 species